GCGGGGCUGGUGGGAGCGAGGGUCUUCCACGGAGCGGGUUCGGGGCAAAGCUGCCUGCCUGCAGCAGAGAUUAAAGGCACUGGCUGGACACUGGGGAAAGCAAUGCUUUUGGCUGCUUUGUGUGCACUUGUUAUUCUUGAAGCUCACAGUGAUGUGACAACAAUAGACAAGAGAGUGUGUGACUCCGUUAUUUUUGAUCUUCACUAUCCCCAGUUGGACCAGCUUUCUCGGAUCACCUGGUACAAGGGAAAUACAUCCUUAAAGCACUGGACACGUGGCAACGCAGUGUCCAGCCAAAGGAUUCAUGUCUAUCCUAAUGGGGCAUUAGGGAUUCGCAGUGUAGUGAAAGAGGAUGUGGGGUGGUACACGGCGAUUGUGCGCAACAGCUCUGAGCAUCUCCUUUACCAAAAAGUAUUUCAGCUACGUGUACAUGCAGAGCACCUUGUCAGAAGACUUGUCGGUGACUGCUUUACUUUUGACCUGAACUGCCUGCAGCCAGACAGGUACAUCCAUGUCACCUGGAAGAAAGGUGAGCAGCGAGUGGCCAAGAUGAGAGGGCAGAGAGUAGAUGUCUCUGCAAGCUACCGUAACAGAGCCCAUGCAUUCCUGAAUGGCAGCYUGACUUUGUGCCCCAUGCAAUGGGGAGACAAGGGCAAGUAUGUGGCGGAAAUAUUUGAUCAGGAUGGUGUGCACAUGCAUCAUGAAAUUAUUAACCUGGAACUGAACAAGCAAAACGAGACAUCCAGAAGAAAUUAUGGUCAAUUACUGUUCUAUGUUCUCAUAACAUCACAAGCAGUUGUAAUUAUUAUUAUCUUGGUUGUGCUGAUAUGGCAUUUUAAGAACAACAAACACAGGUCAGUUUGGAUAAGAGUACCCAGAGUACCAAGCUUUCGGCACAUGAGUUCAAGCCUAACAGAUGAGAGAGAUAAUCCUGAGAAACCUGAAGAAACGGAUGAAAACAGUCUUUGUUUACAAAAUGAUGAAAACUCUAGUGUGCAGGGACCAGAUGGUACAAGCUGCACUGAGCAAAGAAGUGAAGCUGGAAAAAGGCUCGAAUUGCCACACCUCAAUGGUAUGAAAGCUGGAAAGCCUCCUGCUUCAGUUAGUGAGGUGUGUGUUGCUCCACACUUUGAGAACAUCCCUCCAGGAUCUGAGGACUGUGUUCUUCCAGAAUUUGAUUACCCCCUUCCCUCAGUGUAUGAUGGCUGCCUUUCUCCAGAAUUUGAUCUCUGCAGUCCUCCAGGAUCUGAGGAUUUGAAGGAAGAUGACUAUGUUGCUAUGCAUGAUAUAGUUUUUGUCUCUCCAGGAGCUAGAGAGGCAUGGGAAAGGAGUGAAGACAACUUCAUUCAGUAUGCUUCUAUCAAGUAGAAUGCAAGAGGAUUCCCACAGGAUGAGUCUGGAAACUCAAUUUCCAGUUCUUCCCAUUAGAUUUGCCAGGAAAUAUGUUUGCAGCAUUGGACUGAAAUUUGGACUCUCUCUUUCUCUUUUGGCUGGUCUUGAGCCAACCUUGAAGUUCUGCUGUUAGUUUCUCAUUUGGAUAAAUCUGAUUCUUGAUUUGCUUUGUAGAUUUGGCUGGAAGCCUAAUGGGAAAUCUCUCUGUGGAUCAGUUUGUUUUCCACAGCUGGGGCCCAUCUAUUCCCUUUGUUUUGCUGAAGGUCUUCCAGGAUGACCCAUUAGGAGCCCCGUGUAAAGCAGACAGGAGAAUUAACCCUAAGAAUAGUUCAUCCCAGGCCUCUCUUGUUUGCUUCCACUAGGAGGUGUCAUCGUAGGAAAGAGAAGGGCCUCAGGGAUUUCUGGAGGCCAGGUCUGGGCCCUGACCUCCCGUCCUUGUCUCCUGUUGUGUGGAAGAUGCACCUGAGUGAAUUGGUAGAUAUAAGCAUAAAUUUUCCUCUGCUGUUUGCUUAGAAGAAUGUGCCACUUAGGUGGAAGUCAGUCAAAAGUAUAUUACGAGAAGGGAAUUGCACUGAAGAACAUGCAGCAAGUUUUACUUGGGGAACUGUUGUUUUAGAAGAAAAAAGGAAAAGUAAAGGAAAGAAAUGAGAGCAUUGCUAGCAAAUGGGUUUAGCCAUAAAUGUAAUUGCCUUUAAAGAACAGCCUUGGUAAUUAGAUACAUUUUCUGCAAUGCCUGUAUUAAACUUAGUGAUCUUAAAUGGUGUGUAAUUGUUUUCAUAGAUUGCUUUUAAAUCUUACAGAUUGCUUCUUUUAGGUUUGAUGAACUAACUUUUUUUACAGAAUGUUGAAUAAAAGUAUUUUUUCUUAUUACUGAAAAGGUAUU
rnacentral:lncRNA from 1 species